rnacentral:rRNA from 1 species
GACGAACCAUCCAAACGUUAUUCGGAAUCACUGGGCUUAAAGGGUGCGUAGGCGGUCCGGCAAGUUGGGUGUGAAAUACCUCAGCCUAACUGAGGAAUGGCGCCCAAAACUGUUGGACUCGAGGAAGACAUAGGUGAGCGGAACUUAGGGUGGAGCGGUGAAAUGCGUUGAUAUCCUAAGGAACACCAGUAGCGAAAGCGGCUCACUGGGUCUUAUCUGACGCUGAGGCACGAAAGCCAGGGGAGCGAACGGG